UGACACAUUAUCUGAGCUGCAGCAGUGCAACAAGUGUUACAGCAAUUACCAGCAAUUUUGGUUCUGCUUGACCAGCAUGUUUAAGCCAGCCAAACUGGUCAACUUAAUAAGUCAUCUUCAAAUUCACUUCAACAUGCAGUUGUCUGUGGAGUACAUCUUGUCUUGGGAGCACCCUUUGAUUUUACAUCUUGUGACAUUCCAAUCAUACUGAGAUGGUGGACUCCAGAUGGUUUUCUCU